rnacentral:rRNA from 1 species
UACGGGGGGAGCAAGCGUUGUUCGGAUUCAUUGGGCGUAAAGGGUGCGUAGGCGGCGCGGUAAGUCGGGUGUGAAAUCUUGGAGCUUAACUCCGAAACUGCAUUCGAUACUGCCGUGCUUGAGGACUGGAGAGGAGACUGGAAUUUACGGUGUAGCGGUGAAAUGCGUAGAUAUCGUAAGGAAGACCAGUGGCGAAGGCGGGUCUCUGGACAGUUCCUGACGCUGAGGCACGAAGGCCAGGGGAGCAAACGGG